UUGGAGGGCAAGUCUGGUGCCAGCAGCCGCGGUAAUUCCAGCUCCAAUAGCGUAUAUUAAAGUUGUUGCAGUUAAAAAGCUCGUAGUUGAAUUUCGGGAUCAAUAUUUCGGUCAUGCCGUUGGUAUACACUGUUAUCAUUGAUUUCUCACCUUCUAAAGAACCGUAAUGCCAUUAAUUUGGUGUUACGGGGAAUUAGGACUGUUACCUUGAAAAAAUUAGAGUGUUUAAAGCAGGCUCACGCUUGAAUACAUUAGCAUGGAAUAAUGAAAUAGGACAUCCGAUUCUAUUUUGUUGGUUUCUAGGAUCGAUGUAAUGAUUAAUAGGGAUAGUUGGGGGCAUUAGUAUUCAAUUGUCAGAGGUGAAAUUCUUGGAUUUAUUGAAGACUAACUACUGCGAAAGCAUUUGCCAAGGAUGUUUUCAUUAAUCAAGAACGAAAGUUAGGGGAUCGAAGACGAUCAGAUACCGUCGUAGUCUUAACCAUAAACUAUGCCGACUAGGGAUCGGAUGAUGUUAAUUUUUUAAUGACUCAUUCGGCGCCUUACGGGAAACA
rnacentral:rRNA from 1 species